GCCAGCGUUUCCGAGCGGUAAGGAGAUGGCCUGCAGAGCCAUUUAUCAUGGGUUCAAUUCCCAUCGCUGGCU
rnacentral:tRNA from 1 species